GCAGCAGGCGCGCAAAUUACCCAAUCCCCGAUCGGGGAGGUAGUGACGAGAAAUAGCGAUGCCGCGAUCUUUUGAUCCGGCAGUUGAAAUGAGAACAAUGAAAGAAUUUUAUCGAGAAUCUAUUGGAGGGCAAGUUCUGGUGCCAGCAGCCGCGGUAAUUCCAGCUCGAAGAGCGUAUGUCAAAGUUGCUGCGGUUAAAACGCUCGUCGUUGGACAUCAGUGUGCGUGUCGCGGACAACCGAGUGUUGAUACCGCGUCCACGCACCUAAUAAUAUGCUUGACAACCGUUGAUGCACUUCGGUGUGUGUCACGGUGAAGGGCCACUGUCACUUUGAGAAAUUCAGUGUGCUCAACGCAGGCUUUACGCUUGAAUAAUGCUGCAUGGGAUGACGAAAUAAGGCCUUGGCUCCGUUUCGUUGGUUUACGAAAGCAAAGGUCAUGAUUAAUCGGGACAGACGGGGGCAUUCGUAUUGCGGUGCUAGAAGUGAAAUUCUGUGACCAUCGCAAGACGAACAACUGCGAAAGCAUUUGCCAAGAAUGUUUUCGUUAAUCAAGAACGAAAGUUAGAGGAUCGAAGACGAUUAGAUACCGUCCUAGUUCUAACUGUAAACUAUGCCAACUGGGCAUUCGCCAACGCUUUAUCUUGGCGAGCACCCUCCGGGAAACCAAAGUUAUUUGGUUCCGGGGAGAGUAUGGUUGCAAAAUCGAAACUUAAAGGAAUUGACGGAGGGGCACACCAGAAGUGGAGCCUGCGGCUCAAUUUGACUCAACGCACGAAAGCUUACUCGGUCCGAACACUGCGAGGAUUGACAGGUUGAAAGCUCUUUCUUGAUUCAGUGGGUAGCGGUGCAUGGCCGUUC
rnacentral:rRNA from 1 species